rnacentral:tRNA from 1 species
GCAACAGUGGUUCUGUGGUAGGAUUCUCACCUUCCACGUGGGAGACCCGGGUUCUGUUCCCGGUAUAUGCG